rnacentral:rRNA from 1 species
UACGUAGGGACCAAGCGUUGUUCGGAUUUACUGGGCGUAAAGGGCGCGUAGGCGGCGCGGUAAGUCACUUGUGAAAAUCUCUGAGCUUAACUCAGAACGGCCAAGUGAUACUGCAGUGCUAGAGUGUGGAAGGGGCAAUCGGAAUUCUUGGUGUAGCGGUGAAAUGCGUAGAUAUCAAGAGGAACACCUGAGGUGAAGACGGGUUGCUGGGCCAACACUGACGCUGAUGCGCGAAAGCCAGGGGAGCAAACAGG